AAAUGACAGCUGUACAAUUCAGAAAGACCACAGGAUCCUCCAUAGACCUCAUUGAUGCACACUUGUGCAUGCGCAAUUGUAAAGCACCGAUGUGGCACCUGCCAAAGAAAUCUGCAGAGUUAAUAUGGCAGUGGUCGUGAAGGAGAGCAUGAGGUAUGUAAAACUCACCUCCCCUGCCCCCUAGGGCUACCGGACCCACACAGGAUCUGUCCUUUUUCCGAAUUGGAAAAAGAGAAAAAUAGAAAAUUCACAACCUUUUCUUAUUGCUAAGUGGAUGUGAAUGUGCACUACAUAUGAGAACAUGUUUGUACAGGUAAGGUGGUUACAGAUAGUCUGCAAGCUAUCUUUCUCUCUCUUUCAAUACUAAUCAGUACUAAUUAUUUUUGCUCCAUAAGCUCAUCCUGUCUGCCCCUUCUUCCAUUCUCCAAAGUUUCCUUUUUUUGCUCCAAAGUGAUUGCUAUACAUGAUUACUGUAUACAAUACGACUGCCAGAAAUUCUUGCUGUGCCAAUAAAC